UGGCGGCGUGCCUAACACAUGCAAGUCGAACGAGAAAGUGGAGCAAUCCAUGAGUAAAGUGGCGACCGGGUGAGUAACACGUGACUAACCUACCUCCGAGUGGGGAAUAACUCCGGGAAACCGGGGCUAAUACCGCAUAACAUCGCAAGAUCAAAGCAGCAAUGCGCUUGGAGAGGGGGUCGCGGCUGAUUAGCUCGUUGGCGGGGUAACGGCCCACCAAGGCGAAGAUCGGUAUCCGGCCUGAGAGGGCGCACGGACACACUGGAACUGAAACACGGUCCAGACUCCUACGGGAGGCAGCAGUGGGGAAUUUUGCGCAAUGGGGGAAACCCUGACGCAGCAACGCCGCGUGGAGGAUGAAGCCCUUUGGGGCGUAAACUCCUUUCGACUCGGACGAUAAUGACGGUACGAGUGGAAGAAGCACCGGCUAACUCUGUGCCAGCAGCCGCGGUAAUACAGAGGGUGCGAGCGUUGUUCGGAAUUAUUGGGCGUAAAGGGCGCGUAGGCGGUGCGGUAAGUCACCUGUGAAAUCUCCUGNCUUAACUGGGAGCCUGCAGGCGAAACUACCGUGCUG
rnacentral:rRNA from 1 species